rnacentral:tRNA from 1 species
GCAGGCGUAGUUCAACGGCUAGAACACCGGUCUUCCAAACCGGAAACGCGAGAUCGGCACUCGUCGCCUGCUCCA